UUACAGUCAGUUACAAAUUCCAUCAGUUUUCAAAAUUCUAAGCCCUUUCCGGUAACAAUGAUUUCGAGUCUAUUUUGGUUUUUUUUCAACAUAAGAUUAAGAACAUGGGAUAUAUUUUAUAUAGCUUUAACCGUAUAUUGGCAAAUGAAAAGAACAGUUCCUGACAAGGACAUAUGUGCGAAAUUUGUUCCAUUAUAUAUGUGUUUGUUCCUCCUUGCAACAAAAGUAAUUAUCACAAAAGUUAUAAAUAUGAGCUUUAAUAAAAUGAAUAGAUAUUAUACCCACGUGUCAUUCCUGUGGAAUUUGUUCCUAUUCAUCCUUAAAAUAUUAAUCACAGAGGGAUUUACUGAAAUUGCUAUAGCAACAUAUUGCUCGGAAUGUAUAACUGACGUUAUAACAUCCGAUACGGAACACUAUCUUUGGACUAUGCUAGGAUUAGAUCAGAAAUAUCCAACAAUUUUAGGAUAUGUCGUGUUAGUAACAAUGGUAUUAUAUGCUCUGUACUCAUUUGAUGCAAUGAAAAAACAGAUUAGAGAAUUAAUUUAUGGGAGACAAUGGGAAACUUGCGAUUUGGAAUUUACCCUGAAUGAGUUACGUCGCCAGCUUCAACGAAGGCAACUCCAACCACAUCGUGAAAAUGAACAUUCAUCAUAGGAACAUUUCUAUUAAUAUAUUCAUAAGUAUAAAGUAUUGUGAUGCUUAGAAUAUCAUUUAUAGAUCUGUACUUAUUUGAUGGAUUCAAAAGUUGAAGUAAAGAUGAUUAAAAGUGGAAUGAUUUCGAUUUGGAAUUUACCCUGAAUGAGUCUCAUCGCCAACUUGAACAAAUAGAAAACCAACAACAUCCUUAUAAUGGACAUUUAUCACAAGAACAUCCCGAAAAGGUUAUUCAUAAUUAUCAAGAAAUAUGUGACUAUGGAAUAUUACGAACUUUUAUAUUAAUGCAAUAUACUUUUUAUACAAUCGACGCAAUAAAAAAAAUAUAACAAAUA